rnacentral:rRNA from 1 species
GAUGAACGCUGGCGGCGUGCCUAAUACAUGCAAGUCGAGCGAACAGACGAGGAGCUUGCUCCUCUGACGUUAGCGGCGGACGGGUGAGUAACACGUGGAUAACCUACCUAUAAGACUGGGAUAACUUCGGGAAACCGGAGCUAAUACCGGAUAAUGUAUUGAACCGCAUGGUUCAAUAGUGAAAGACGGUUUUGCUGUCACUUAUAGAUGGAUCCGCGCCGCAUUAGCUAGUUGGUAAGGUAACGGCUUACCAAGGCAACGAUGCGUAGCCGACCUGAGAGGGUGAUCGGCCACCCUGGAACUGAGACACGGUCCAGACCCCUACGGGAGGCAGCAGUAGGGAAUCUUCCGCAAUGGGCGAAAGCCUGACGGAGCAACGCCGCGUGAGUGAUGAAGGUCUUCGGAUCGUAAAACUCUGUUAUUAGGGAAGAACAAAUGUGUAAGUAACUAUGCACGUCUUGACGGUACCUAAUCAGAAAGCCACGGCUAACUACGUG